rnacentral:rRNA from 1 species
GAAAGGAGCAAUCCGCUGAUAGAUGGGCUUGCGUCUGAUUAGAUAGUUGGUGGGGUAACGGCCUACCAAGUCGACGAUCAGUAGCCGGACUGAGAGGUUGAACGGCCACAUUGGGACUGAGAUACGGCCCAGACUCCUACGGGAGGCAGCAGUCGGGAAUAUUGCGCAAUGGAGGAAACUCUGACGCAGUGACGCCGCGUGCAGGAAGAAGGUUUUCGGAUUGUAAACUGCUUUAGACAGGGAAGAUAAUGACAGUACCUGUAGAAUAAGCUCCGGCUAACUACGUGCCAGCAGCCGCGGUAAUACGUAGGGAGCAAGCGUUAUCCGGAUUUAUUGGGUGUAAAGGGUGCGUAGACGGGAAGGCAAGUUAGUUGUGAAAUCCCUCGGCUUAACUGAGGAACUGCAACUAAAACUAUCUUUCUUGAGUGCUGGAGAGGAAAGUGGAAUUCCUAGUGUAGCGGUGAAAUGCGUAGAUAUUAGGAGGAACACCAGUGGCGAAGGCGACUUUCUGGACAGUAACUGACGUUGAGGCACGAAAGUGUGGGGAGCAAACAGGAUUAGAUACCCUGGUAGUCCACACCGUAAACGAUGGAUACUAGGUGUAGGGGAUGAAUAAUCUUCU